rnacentral:rRNA from 1 species
AUUGAACGCUGGCGGCAGGCCUAACACAUGCAAGUCGAAUGGUAACAGGAAACAGCUUACUGUUUCGCUGACGAGUGGCGGACGGGUGAGUAAUGUCUGGGAAACUGCCUGAUGGAGGGGGAUAACUACUGGAAACGGUAGCUAAUACCGCAUAACGUCGCAAGACCAAAGAGGGGGACCUUCGGGCCUCUUGCCAUCAGAUGUGCCCAGAUGGGAUUAGCUAGUAGGUGGGGUAACGGCUCACCUAGGCGACGAUCCCUAGCUGGUCUGAGAGGAUGACCAGCCACACUGGAACUGAGACACGGUCCAGACUCCUACGGGAGGCAGCAGUGGGGAAUAUUGCACAAUGGGCGCAAGCCUGAUGCAGCCAUGCCGCGUGUAUGAAGAAGGCCUUCGGGUUGUAAAGUACUUUCAGCGGGGAGGAAGGGAGUAAAGUUAAUACCUUGGCUCAUUGACGUUACCCGCAGAAGAAGCACCGGCUAACUCCGUG